rnacentral:rRNA from 1 species
AUCGCUAGUAAUCGCGGAUCAGCAUGCCGCGGUGAAUACGUUCCCAGGCCUUGUACACACCGCCCGUCACACCAUGGGAGUUGGAUUCACCCGAAGGCGUUGCGCCAACCCGUAAGGGAAGCAGGCGACCACGGUGGGUUCAGCGACUGGGGUGAAGUCGUAACAAGGUAGCCGUAGGGGAACCUGCGGCUGGAUCACCUCCUUU